rnacentral:rRNA from 1 species
GGGAGGUCCAGCCUGCCCAAUGAUACAUUGAAUGGCCGCGGUACUCUUACCGUGCGAAGGUAGCAUAAUCACUUGUUCAUUAAAUGUGGACUAGUAUGAACGGCAUCACGAGGGUCAUACUGUCUCCCUACUCCAAUCAAUGAAACUAUUUUUCCCGUGAAGAAACGGGAAUUAAACUAUAAGACGAGAAGACCCCAUGGAGCUUUAAACCCAGAACAUCUACCAACCCCCCCAUUCUUACCUACUAUGGUACUCAUGUUUUCUGGUUUUUGGUUGGGGCGACCACGGAGCAAAAAAAAUCCUCCACGAUGAACAAGCUUUACUUUUACCCAUGAAGCACACUUCUAAGGAUCCUUAAUAUGACAUUUCUUGACCCAAGCCUACUUGAUCAACGAACCUAGUUACCCUGGGGAUAACAGCGCAAUCCAUUUCAAGAGCCCAUAUCGACAAAUGGGUUUACGACCUCGAUGUUGGAUCAGGGUAUCCCAGUGGUGCACCCGCUACUAAAGGUUUGUUUGUUCAACAAUUA